GCGUUGUUCGGAAUUAUUGGGCGUAAAGCGCGUGUAGGCGGCUUUGCAAGUCGGGUGUGAAAGCCCUCGGCUCAACCGAGGAAGUGCGCCCGAAACUGCAGAGCUUGAGUACCGGAGAGGGUGGCGGAAUUCCCCAAGUAGAGGUGAAAUUCGUAGAUAUGGGGAGGAACACCGGUGGCGAAGGCGGCCACCUGGACGGAUACUGACGCUGAGACGCGAAAGCGUG
rnacentral:rRNA from 1 species